rnacentral:misc_RNA from 1 species
GAUGAAGAACGCAGCGAAAUGCGAUACGUAAUGUGAAUUGCAGAAUUCAGUGAAUCAUCGAAUCUUUGAACGCACAUUGCGCCCGCCAGUAUUCUGGCGGGCAUGCCUGUCUGAGCGUCGUUUCGACCCUCGCGCCCGGCUUCUGUCGGGGGCGGUGUUGGGGAUCGGCCACACCCUUCAGUGGGAGGCCGGCCCCUAAAUUCAGUGGCGACCACGCUGUAGCCUCCCCUGCGUAGUACUAAAACCACCUCGCAGGCGGAGAGCGGUGCGGCCCGCCGUAAAACCCCCCAACUUUUACAAGGUCGACCUCAGAUCAGGUAGGAAUACCCGCUGAACUUAAGCAUAUCAAUAAGCGGAGG